CCUACGGGUGGCAGCAGUGGGGAAUAUUGGGCAAUGGGCGCAAGCCUGACCCAGCAACGCCGCGUGAAGGAAGAAGGCGUUCGGGUUGUAAACUUCUUUUGUCAGGGAAGAGGAGAAGACGGUACCUGACGAAUAAGCCACGGCUAACUACGGGCCAGCAGCCGCGGUAAUACGGAGGUGGCAAGCGUUGGCCGGAUUUACUGGGUGGAAAGGGCGUGUAGCCGGGUUGACAAGUCAGAUGUGAAAUCCUGCGGCUUAACCGCAGAACUGCCUUUGAAACUGUUGAUCUUGAGUACUGGCGAGGCAGCUGGAAUUCCUAGUGUAGCGGUGAACUGCGUAGAUAUUAGGAGGCACCCCAGUGGCGAAGGCGGUCUGCUGGACCGCCCCUGACGGUGAGGUGCGAACGCGUGGGGAGCAAACAGGAUUAGAUACCCGAGUAGUC
rnacentral:rRNA from 1 species